rnacentral:rRNA from 1 species
UCUCAGUUCGGAUCGGAGUCUGNAACCCGACUCCGUGAAGCUGGAUUCGCUAGUAAUCGCGCAUCAGCCAUGGCGCGGUGAAUACGUUCCCGGGCCUUGUACACACCGCCCGUCAAGCCAUGGGAGCCGGGAGUGCCUGAAGUCCGUGACCGCGAGGGUCGGCCUAGGGUGAAACCGGUGAUUGGGGCUAAGUCGUAACAAGGUAGC